AAUCACCUUGUAGAUGUCGAACAAAAUAAUAACAAGCAUGCAAAGAGAUAGAAUUUUGUACUUUCUCCAACAAAUAGUAUGCUAAGUAGGUGAUCUCCAUGAUACUCUAAAAUAGAAGUCCUCCAAUGGUGAUGCACACAAAAGUUGGCCAAGAUCUUUCCUAACCGAUGUGCUGCAGUAGCCUUUUCUUCACAAGAACACUGUCGGCUUCGAACUCAAAGAAUAAUCGCACCAAUACUUAGUUACCUUCAAUUUUCUCACC
rnacentral:lncRNA from 1 species